GGAAAAUCCGUCGGCUUUAUANACCGUGAGAGUUCAAAUCUCUCUAUCCCC
rnacentral:tRNA from 1 species